UACGUAGGGGGCAAGCGUUGUCCGGAAUUAUUGGGCGUAAAGAGCGUGUAGGCGGUCCGGUAAGUCAGCUGUGAAAGUCAAGGGCUCAACCCUUGAAUGCCGGUUGAUACUGUCGGGCUAGAGUCCGGAAGAGGCGAGUGGAAUUCCCGGUGUAGCGGUGAAAUGCGCAGAUAUCAGGAGGAACACCGGUGGCGAAGGCGGAUCUCUGGGACGGUACUGACGCUGAGACGCGAAAGCGUGGGGAGCGAACAGG
rnacentral:rRNA from 1 species